AAUAGAUACCCAGGUAGUCCACGCCGUAAACGAUGAGUGCUAGAUGUUGGAGGACAUCGUCCUUCAGUGUCGCAGCUAACGCAUUAAGCACUCCGCCUGGGGAGUACGGCCGCAAGGUUAAACUACAAAGGAAUUGACGGGGGCCCGCACAAGCGGUGGAGCAUGUGGUUCAAUUCGACGCAACGCGAAGAACCUUACCAGGCCUUGACAUGGGGAGUAUGGGUUCCCGAAAGGGGAUCCUUCAGUUCGGCUGGCUCCCACACAGGUGCUGCAUGGCUGUCGUCAGCUCGUGUCGUGAGAUGUUGGGUUAAGUCCCGCAACGAGCGCAACCCUCGUCUUCAGUUGCCAUCAGGUUAAGCUGGGCACUCUGAAGAACCGCCGGUGACAAGCCGGAGGAAGGUGGGGAUGACGUCAAGUCAUCAUGGCCCCUUACGGGCUGGGCUACACACGUGCUACAAUGGCAGUGACAAUGGGCAGCCACUCCGGCGAGGGGGGAGCUAAUCCCCAAAAAACUGUCUCAGUUCGGU
rnacentral:rRNA from 1 species